UGGCACAAUUGGCUAGCGCGUCAGACUGUUAAUCUGGAGGUUGGUGGUUCGAGCCCACN
rnacentral:tRNA from 1 species